AUUGAACGCUGGCGGCAGGCCUAACACAUGCAAGUCGAGCGCGAAAGUUCUUCGGAAUGAGUAAAGCGGCGGAGGGGUGAGUAAUGCAUGGGAAUCUGCCUGGUAGUGGGGGACAACGUUUCGAAAGGAACGCUAAUACCGCAUACGCCCUAAGGGGGAAAGGUGGGGAUCCUCGGACCUCUCGCUAUCAGAUGAGACCAUGUCAGAUUAGCUGGUUGGUGAGGUAAAGGCUCGCCAAGGCGACGAUCUGUAACUGGUCUGAGAGGAUGAUCAGUCACACUGGAACUGAGACACGGUCCAGACUCCUACGGGAGGCAGCAGUGGGGAAUAUUGGACAAUGGGCGAAAGCCUGAUCCAGCCAUGCCGCGUGUGUGAAGAAGGCCUUAGGGUUGUAAAGCACUUUCAGUGGGGAGAAAGGUUAUUCACCUAAUACGUGAGUAAAUUGAUGUUACCCACAGAAGAAGCACCGGCUAACUCCGUGCCAGCAGCCGCAGUAA
rnacentral:rRNA from 1 species